rnacentral:lncRNA from 1 species
AUUGUUUACUACUAAGAAACAACUAUCUCUAUUUAUAUUAUGAAGACCAUCAACUUUCACCGUCUAUUUAGGUUAAGUUCUCUAUUCCUUUGCUUCUUGCACCUUUAACUAGUUAAACAUGAGUUAUAUAAAAUAGUUCAAAAUUAAUUCAUAUGAUCCCUUUCAAAAUCCUCGUUUGCAAAUGUUAAAAAUUUAUUUCAAUUACAUAUUUCGGCAUCUCUUAUAAAUUAAAGUUGUAAAAAAGGUACAUUGAAAAUUUAGUUUGUAGGAUAGUUUUUAUUGGCGGUAGCACUCACAUUCUUCUUUAACCUAGUUCCGCACUUCAUUCCUUUUCCAUACAGUCUUGCUUUCCUCUCCAACCCACCUCUGCAACAUCACAUCUACGUUCCUUUCUUAUCUUGAUUCAUAGUCGAAGAUACGAGAAUAUAAGAUAUAGGGUUACGGAUUUGGAGAAAUGGGAUUCAUUAGAUUUUAAGAUCAUAUUAAGAUUUUCACCUAUCUAUUUGAAAGAUUAUGAGAUUUAGGUUUACUAUCUAAUUUUUAAAUUUAGUUUUCAAAUUU